CAUGGCAAUGCUGGAUCCUUAACCCCUUGAAUGAGGCCAAGGAUAGAAUCCAAGCCCUCAUGGAUUCUAGUCGAGUUCAUUAACCACUGAGCCACAAUGGGAACUCCACAAUGGAUACUUUUAGAUAAACUCCAAGGAAAUGUGAGAAGUUAUAUUUAAGAAAAUCAGCUUUCCUCUACUUUUCUCACAUUCUCUGGGUGACAUUUUACCUGUCUUGAAUUUAGUAGAGGGAAUUACAUUGUAAAAUAGAACUUUGGAUAGUAUUUAAGAGGCUGCUUUUGCCCAAUACGCAUUAUAGUACUUAUGUAAAUGGACAAGAAUAAAUCCCAUGUAGUUUUUUUUUAAUAGUGAAAAACAGUGAGGGAUACAAAAAUGUUUUGUUUACUUUUGUAACAUAUACUUUGGGAGGUUGAUAAAGUAUAAUGCCAAUAAGGGCAUGAUGAAAUGUCUGCUGUAAGGCAUUUUAUACUCAGAAAUAACAUUUGAGGCAAUGUUUCACAGUUUACAAAGUGAUUUCCUUUAAGGUAUUUUUCAUAGCAACCCACAUGAAGUAGAUAUGACUAUCCCCAUUUUGAAAGGAAGACAGUUACAUUAUCUUUAACAUCAAUGAUAGCCAUGGCAACUAGGCCCUUUAAUUAAAAUAAGCAUACACACCCAUACACUAUGUACGUCCCAAGACGAUUGUCAUGAGGAUGGUGAGGGAUCAUGUGGUAGCAAGUCCUAAAUGUACCAGAAGAGAGACAUGCUUCUCAAAUAUAAGGUACUUACUCCCACCUCUCUUGUUAUUCUUCCUUCUCCCCAGGGGCAAUGGCUGUGGGCAUUUUUCUUCCAGAUUUCUUCCUUCCAUUCCCAAGUCCAUGCCUGGCAGGGAGUAUGGUGGGCAGCCCUUGAUUUAAGAGGCUUGCUUUGGUUUUAUAAAUUACUCCUUUUUAUCACUGAGCCUGUGGGUCACCGUAAUUGUUUUGGGCAGACUUAGCUUAUAGUGACUUCCUCCUGACUGAAGAAUUGAAACAAAUGGCAUGGAUUUUGUAAGGCGGCUGUGCUUUCUUUCUCCUUCUUGUUCAUCCUUCCCAGGCUGAGGAUGAGAAGGUGAAGAUUGUACAUCAUACCCAUCAGUUAGAGAUUGAGCUACCCAACCCACUGAGGGGACUUUAAUUUACAGAAAGGAAACUGCUAACAGCUAUCUCUAAAUUACAAUGGUGAAGAUUUACCAGAGGGAAGCUUCGGUAAAAUAGGCUUUUUAGUCUUGUCCCUAAUAAGUGUAUGUACCUAUUAGGGUAUAAUGUAAACUACCAUUUUGCUGAAACCGGCUUACAUAAUAAUUUUGUGCCGCUGGUUAACUCCAGUUUACUUUGCAUUUAGUCUUGCCCUUGAUUUUGCGUAAGAAGGGGAACACUGGUUUAUCUGGACUGUGAUAACCUGGAUUAUUUCCUGCUUUAUCUAGGCAAUUAAGUCAGAAUUGUAUACAUUUGUCCAUGGGUGAUAGUUGUUGGUGGCAUUCCAUUACCAUAGCAACAGGCUUCAUUCUUGGUUGCUACUAAUUGCCUCCAGAAUUAUGAGGGUAGGGAGGUUUUCCAGCUGACAGUGCACAGUGUUUGUAGAAAGUGCAAAAAGGGCUCUGUCAGAGCUCUCUAUUUAGAACCAACGGCUCGGGGACCACAAUGACUGAGAUAGAUGUGUUACAAGAACUUCCCAGUGACUUACUGCCCUGACUCUGGUUGCUGACAAAUGCUAUACUGCUACUUGGCUUCUGGGAAACGGAAAAGGUAUUUGGCCUUGGGAGUGUUUCUGUGGAAAGUAUAAUAGCAUGAACACCUGGUUCCCUAUCCUGCUUCUUCAGUCAACUGCCCAAUGGGUCAUUUUAUUUACAUUCCAGAUGUAGCCAAUAAAGAGAAUGAGGUGGCUUCAGUGAAUUCUAAUGGUCAUACUAUAUUCCUUUCAAGGAUAAAGUAAGUCUUUUAGCUUUUAUUUCAAAUAACUUGCUUAUAUUUUGUAUGAAAUGGAUGAUUAAUCUUGUGGUAUUUAAACCACUAAGUGUGUUUAUCUUGAUAUCACAAUAUAACUGAUAUGGCUUAUAUCUAAUGUAAAUGUUACUUUAAAAUAUUUCAGUUUAUAUUAAAUAUAUAAAAUAAAUAGUUUAUAUUAAAUAUUAAAAUAAAUAUUUUAGUUUAAAAUAUGUUACUUUAAAAUAAUAUAGUGCUUAUCUUAUCCCUUAACUGCUGGGCACAUGGCUCCAUUUCUUCUUCUAAAUCAUGAUUUGGAUAUUUAAAAAAAAAGAAAGAAAAGAAAACCCCAGCUUGUUUAUAAUAGAACAUCUCAAGUUUAUGGUGAAGGUUUACUAUAGUCUCAAGGUGUGUAACACUUCACAGAGCUGUACAAGUGGUAUUAUUAGCUGUCAUUUAGAUAUUUUCCUUUGUGAAAGUGCUUUAUUACAAGCAAUAUUUGUCCUACUACAGGAUGUUUUUCCCAAGAAAUUCAUUCUCUAAAGGAAUUCUCUAUAUCUUCCCACUGAUGUUAUUAACUCAAAAUGAUUCCUAGGCCAAUAUUCUGUCAUAUUCUUCAGCCAGGUGAAUCACACAUUGUAAUCUGGCUGUUUCAUCUCCUCUCAUGCUUGCCCAGGCUGUGCCUGAGCUGCACAGGGGACUUGCCUCAUUGUUCUUAAAACCCAGGCAUUCUCACAUCUCAGUGACUUUGCACAUACUGUCCCCUCGGCUGGCCUGGAAUGCACUCCUGCUCCUGCUUUCCCAGACACUUGCCUGAGGAAAGCUGGGCUAGUUCCGCCUCAGUGUUACCUCUGCCGUGAAGCCUCCUCUGACUCACUGUCACCCCUGCUUUAGGAUCACCUGGGACAUUUCCCUGUUGGACACAUGUCUGUUUCACCAUUACAAACUCCAACACACACAAUCUUGUUGCAAAGACAAGUUGUUCAUACAAGAACUCUCAUCCAACAAAGUGGAGCCGGCUGUUGGUGAUGUGAGCCCUUGAAAGAUCUGUGGGUCCUUGGCUGGU